UACUUGACUUUUGUUCGCAACGGUACAAGACCCCUCGUUAUCGGCUACCACUACCGAUUCAACCGAUCCAGAAAUCGUUCUGACAACCUCGGCGAGAAAUGUCAAAGGGAACUAAAAACAGAAUACCUAUUGUUAGAAAGCCACAACAAGUUUGGAUUCGUUGAGUUAAAAUUGAUUAUCCUAAAUUGUUAUCCUAAAAUUUAUUAUUCUAAAGUUGUUGUACUACAUCAAUUCUAAAAUUUGUUAGAACGUACACGACAACUAUACUUUGUUACAAGUAGACGGACAAUUAGCGUAGAAGACAACAAAUCUUAAAGCCUACUCAAACAAACAAACGGGUUUGCUCUUAAGAAUCUAAUACGUGACCGUCUUCGUAAC